UACGGGGGGGGCAAGGCGUUGUUCGGAAUUACUGGGCGUAAAGCGCGCGUAGGCGGCCCGGUAAGUCCGCUGUAAAAGUCCAGGGCUCAACCCUGGAAAAGCCGGGUGGAUACUGUCCGGGCUAGAGUCCGGGAAGAGGCGAGUGGAAUUCCUGGUGUAGCGGUGGGAAUGCGCAGAUAUCAGAAGGAACAUCAGUGGCGAAGGCGGCUUCCUGGACCAAUACUGACGAUCGAGGUGCGAAAGCGUGGGGAGCAAACAGG
rnacentral:rRNA from 1 species